UCACAGUUUGCACUGGCAGUCUUGUUAGAGUUCCCGACUUGACUCGCUGGCAACUAACAACAGGGGUUGCGCUCGUUAUAGGACUUAACCUGACACCUCACGGCACGAGCUGACGACAACCAUGCAGCACCUUGUAAAUUGCCCGAAGGAGAGUCUGUUUCCAAACCUGUCAAUCUACAUUUAAGCCUUGGUAAGGUUCCUCGCGUAUCAUCGAAUUAAACCACAUGCUCCACCGCUUGUGCGGGCCCCCGUCAAUUCCUUUGAGUUUCAUUCUUGCGAACGUACUCCCCAGGCGGAAUGCUUAAUGCGUUAGCUGCGCCACCGAAGAGCAAGCUCCCCGACGGCUGGCAUUCAUCGUUUACGGCGUGGACUAC
rnacentral:misc_RNA from 1 species